CUCAUCUCUUUGUCGAUGGUGUCUCUCUCUCUUCUCUUUCUCAUCUCAGACUGAGUUGUCUCUCACACUCUCAUCCAUCUCAAAUCAGAUCGGCGACGGUGUGCUGCUCGUCUCUCUCUCUCUCUCGGUGACACUAUUUUUGUUCCUUUGUUUCUAGAUCUUCUAUCUCAGAUCGGAUCAGUGGCUAUAGUUGUUGUCUCUCUCUCUCUCUCGAUCAGUGGAUUUAAUCUCAAAUCGAUUGUUCAUGUCAUCUACAAUGGAUUCGGUAAAUAUGUCAAGUACCAGAGACACAAAUGAUGUAAUUGACCUCUCUCAGUCUCAAUUUGAUAAAGAACAUGAUCCUCAACCUGAAACUCCUUCAGGUUCAAAGGUAUGCCCCCCCUCCUCCUAAGCCAAAAGCUAGACAAUAUUCUGAAGUUUAGGAGCAGUUUCUGAUUUAUAAGAGACAGCAUCAUAAUUUGUUUUACCAAUAAUGUUCGGGACACUAACAAUCAUAUUAACUAGACUAUUUGGUGAAUGUGAACCCUACGUCAACAUGCGGUUCUUGUAUCUUAGUUGGUUUGUUUGUUGGUA